GUUUUUGGUCUGCGAGGUCCACUUGGACGUGAAGGGUUCCCAGGUCCUCCUGGUCUCUUUGGGAGAAAGGGUAUGAAAGGGGUUCGAGGGCCCUCUGGAAGAAAGGGAGUGAAAGGACGUCGAGGACCAAGGGGAAAACCAGGUCCUCCAGGAGAAUUUGUACCAAGAAGCCAAAAUGUAGGUGCACAGUUUCAUUGUAAACUUUUUUUA